rnacentral:rRNA from 1 species
UCGGGAAUUUUGGGCAAUGGGCGAAAGCCUGACCCAGCAACGCCGCGUGAGGGAUGAAGUAUUUCGGUAUGUAAACCUCGAAAGAAUGGGAAGAAUAAAUGACGGUACCAUUUAUAAGCUCCGGCUAACUACGUGCCAGCAGCCGCGGUAAUACGUAGGGAGCAAGCGUUGUUCGGAUUUACUGGGCGUAAAGGGCGCGUAGGCGGCGCGGUAAGUCACUUGUGAAAUCUCUGAGCUUAACUCAGAACGGCCAAGUGAUACUGCUGUGCUAGAGUGCGGAAGAGGCAACCGGAAUUCUUGGUGUAGCGGUGAAAUGCGUAGAUAUCAAGAGGAACACCUGAGGCGAAGGCGGGUUGCUGGGCCGACACUGACGCUGAUGCGCGGAAGCCAGGGGAGCAAACG